rnacentral:lncRNA from 1 species
CUGAUCCCCAACCUGUUUCUGCUUCAGAAAACUAGUUCUUCUGUAUUAUGAAAGCAAAUCACCUUUCCUGUUUGCAUAAAGGGGCAUAAAAACCAUGGGGACAUUAACAGAAAACAGAGUAACCUUGUUCACGUUUUAGAGUAUCUUAUGAUUUAAAAAGCAGAAAAGGAAUGUGCAGUUUGGAACAGUUCAGAUUUGUCUCAAUCAAAAUAUGCAAAAGGUCUUCUGGAUUCUGAAGUUUAUCUCACCAUUCCAUGUCUGCUACCAUCACAAAGAGUCGCUUAUGAUGCAGGCAAUAAAAAAUUAGAUGUUUGAAAUUUCUGGCUCUUCAUAAAUGCUGAAAUUGUGCCAAAGAAAUAAUAAUAGUUAUAGGUCUAAGUGUAU